GACGAACGCUGGCGGCGUGCUUAACACAUGCAAGUCGAACGGAAAGGCCCUGCUUUUGUGGGGUGCUCGAGUGGCGAACGGGUGAGUAACACGUGAGUAACCUGCCCUUGACUUUGGGAUAACUUCAGGAAACUGGGGCUAAUACCGGAUAGGAGCUCCUGCUGCAUGGUGGGGGUUGGAAAGUUUCGGCGGUUGGGGAUGGACUCGCGGCUUAUCAGCUUGUUGGUGGGGUAGUGGCUUACCAAGGCUUUGACGGGUAGCCGGCCUGAGAGGGUGACCGGCCACAUUGGGACUGAGAUACGGCCCAGACUCCUACGGGAGGCAGCAGUGGGGAAUAUUGCACAAGGGGCGGAAGCCUGAUGCAGCAACGCCGCGUGCGGGAUGACGGCCUUCGGGUUGUAAUCCGCUUGCGCCUGUGACGAAGCGUGAGUGACGGUAAUGGGUAAAGAAGCACCGGCUAAAUACGUG
rnacentral:rRNA from 1 species